GUUGAUUAUCGUAGUGCGGUCCACACGCGCUUUCUUUGUGCCCGGCUCAUGAGAAGUGUUGUACUCUCGCCGCUCCCGCAUCGGCUCACAGUGCACGGAAGAAUGUGUUGAUAGUUGUGCUAUCGCGUACUGUAGUUCACCGCAAUUCAACACUACGUUGGACGGACUGUUGGUGCAGUCGAUGCGGCGUGAACGGACACGAAGGAGCGCUCGCCUCAGAAGGGAUGUCACAAUUUCCUGAGACGGAGGCAUCUCUGCACCACAAAGGAGACUGCGGCACUAUGCAGCCUGAACAGCACGACAAAGCAUCUGAUCUGCCUGCUUUGACAAGAUGUGGCUGGGCCUGCAGAAAGAGUGUAAGCACACUACUGUGUUGCUGAUCAGUGCUGGUGCUGAUCUCUACGUCUGAGUUGGCCUCACAACGUCCAGGCGCCACUGUGCUUUGCUUCAUUGACAAGGUGUGGCUGGGCCUGCAGAAAAGCUGUAAGCAGACUGCAGUGUUGCUGAUCAGUGCUGAUCUCCACGUCCGAGUUGGUCCCACAAUAUCCAGGCACCACGGUGCUUUCACAAGAGGCAUACGAGCACUUUGUUUCAAAAACGCCAAGCACCGUGGAUACAGAGGCAAGGAGGCUGAAGGACCUGAACAAGCACCUGGCCACCAUGCUUCGGGAUGCAAAAUAAAGAUGGUUUGUGUUAA
rnacentral:lncRNA from 1 species